AGGUAUUACAGGUCCCUCAACUAUUAAAACCGGUACAGAUUAGGUCCCUCGGCGGUUUAGAUGGCGGUUUUGCCUGAUGUGGCGCCUAUAUGACUAAUUUGACUCGGUCUUGAUCUGAUGUGGUACCGACGUGGCGUUUACGUGGCAAUUCAAUUAAAAAUAAUAAUAAACCUCGUGGGACCCACAUGUCAGUUUCACACUGAAAUUAAUAAAAAAUGGUGGGGCCCACGCGGGCCCCACAUGUCAUUCUCAACCCCCUUCUUCCUCAAUCCCCAUCCCCUCUCAUCAACUCUCUCUCCCCUCUCCUCUCUCGCGACGGAGGCAUGGCUCUGGCGACUGUGGCGGCCGGUGGAGAGGAGUUGGGCGUCGGUGCUCAUGCCACCGCCUCCUCCAUUGACCUCGCCGUCACCGGCGGCCUCUCGCCCAAUCCACAGCCAUGCCUCCGGUGGUGACCCACUAGCCCUGCUCGCUCCCAUCCCCCAUGGCUUCCGAGCGCCCGAUGCCUCGCUGCCGCCGCCGACGUUGUCGCUUCUCCCGCCGACGUAGCCGGAGCCACCCAUCCGUGCCGAACGCCUCGCGUUCUCCCUCGAGGUGCCCGACCCCUUCCGCCGGGAGCCUGACCCGUCGGCCGUGUCACAGUGGGAGGUGGAGGAGGAGGAGGAGGAGGAGGGGGGCAGUGAGGAGGAGUCCCGCGCGGUUGUUGUCAGGGAGCCCUCCUCCACGGCGCGCAGCGGCCGGGCGAGGAGAGGCGGCCCUCCUCUGCAGGCAAAAUUACUUGAAACAGUGGCGGCGGCAACCCACUGAUGAGCUCCGGCCCUCCGUGGAUGGUGGACGAGCGCGCUUGGCUGGAUGGUGGUGGAGCGAGCUGGAGAGGACGGCGGCCAGCCACCGCGAGCUUGUGUGGAAAGGAGGCUCGUUUUGCUUCUUCUUCAUCCAACCCCCGUUCUUGUCUUUCUCUUUGUUGCUUGAUUGUCUUCCCCUGGAAUCGACAUCAAAAAGGAAUUUUUCUCACA